rnacentral:lncRNA from 1 species
AAUGUAGUUCGGCGGAAAGGAAUCGGAGAUAAAAGAGCUCUGUUUCCAAACAGAUUUGUCCAUCAGUAAUGGGACGUUCGGGAUGAAGCCAAUCAAAAAAAAAAAAAGAAAGAAAAAUUCGAUUUGGAUAAUAGCUUUUCUUAUGACACAAGAUUGUUCUGUUCCGGGACUGUAGUGAAUAAAGAGGGUCAGCUCUUGUUAACCCGGUACAACAAAGUAAUAGAAGAGAGUUAGUACUCAUU